UACAGAGGUCUCAAGCGUUGUUCGGAUUCAUUGGGCGUAAAGGGCGCGUAGGCGGCCUCCGCAAGUCAGUUGUGAAAUCUCCGAGCUUAACUCGGAAAGGUCAACUGAUACUGUGCGGCUAGAGUGCGGAAGGGGCAACUGGAAUUCUUGGUGUAGCGGUGAAAUGCGUAGAUAUCAAGAGGAACACCUGCGGCGAAGGCGGGUUGCUGGGCCGGCACUGACGCUGAGGCGCGAAAGCCAGGGGAGCGAACGGG
rnacentral:rRNA from 1 species